rnacentral:lncRNA from 1 species
GGUACGACGACUAAGGGACCAUUUGGUUGUAUGUAGUUGCAACUGCACUGCAGUUGUAACUGUAUAUAAAUGCAAAUUUUGUAUUUGGUUUAAUGUAUUUAACUCCAACUGCUGUAAUAGGAACUGCAGGGGGAGGCCCAACUGCUGCAGUUUGAACUACGCCCAAAUUGGCCGCAGUUCCAACUACAGCAGUUGGAGAGAGUAAUUUUAAAUAAAAGAUAUGCUUACCUCUUCAAUAUUUUUUAAACAAAAAUUAUUUUUCUUUUUUACAUUAGAGAUAAUCUCACCAUCAUAUAUAUAAAAUAAUAAAAUUUUAAAAAUUAUUUCUCAACUGUAUGCAACCAAACAAAUUAUUUAUACUUGUAGCGUUUUCUAUUACAUCUAACCAAACAAGAUUCAUCUAGUUAUAAUUGCUGUAUUUCCAACUGCAUGUAUCUCUAACUACACUGCAUUUAUAAUUACAUCUAACCAAACGGCCCCUAAAUAUAACGAACUUCGUCACAAAAAAGAAGAAAAUAAAAACAUCAAAAUUUUUAUAAAUAAUAAAUAAUUUAUUUAAACUUGGUUAAUUUCUUACUUACUUAAAAGUGACAAUUUCAUGUAUACCCCUCAAAACAUUUCUCUUUCAAACAUUCCUAAGUUUUCAAAUCUACUCUUCUAAAAUUUAACAUCUUUCCAAUAAACUCUCAACAGCAUGGUAUAUUGGGAAGAUAGUGAUACUAUUUCAAAUGGCAAAUUACAUAAUAUACGUAAGCAAAUUUGAUAACAAAGAUAAAUUAGGUGCAUAUAUAAAAUUGAGCUCUUACACUUUUAAAAAUACCCAAGUCAUUAGUGCUCGUAGGUUUUCGACCCUUAAAUAAAGGGAUAUGUGGUUAUAAGGAUGAUAGUAGUCCCCUAUGGUUCAGUGAGCGGUUGGUUGAAUAGUAUGAUCUAACUGAUGAAAUUGUCAAAUAAAUAGAU